GAUUUAAGACUAAAAACAGAUGUGUGUGAAUCGUCAAAUGUACUUAGGGUCACAAGUGCAAAUAAAAAAAUCAACAAAUGUUUUUUUUUUCCUGUAAAUACGGCGGUGAAGUUAGUUUCAGGUUGGAUAUAUUUUCCUGUAAAUACGGCGGUGAAGUUAGUUUCAGGUUGGAUAUAUCUUCCUGUAAAUACGGCGGUGAAGUUAGUUUUAGGUUGGAUAUAUUUUCCUGUAAAUACGGCGGUGAAGUUAGUUUCAGGUUGGAUAUAUUUCCCUGUAAAUACGGCGGUGAAGUUAGUUUCAGGUUGGAUAUAUUUUCCUGUAAAUACGGCGGUGAAGUUAGUUUUAGGUUGGAUAUAUUUUCACGUCUGAGUGAGCAGCACACGCCCUCACAGCAGACCUAUCGUUGAUCAAUAACAGGACCACACCUCCACAGUGACCUGUUCAUGAAUCUGCUGACUCGUCAAUAGAGGGUUCAUGGUGUCUGCUGAUCAGUCCAUUUACCGGCUGGUUCUCCUAACUCUCUCUCGAUGAGUGGACCCGCCAUCAGCUGAUAUCUCUCCAUGUCUUUGGUUUCUAUCACAUGAUCUUCCUCGUCAGCGUGGUCAUCAACGUUUAUUCAGCUGC